GUCCCUGGGGGGGGCCACAUCUCCCGGCUGAGCCAGGGCUCCACUCCCCAGCCGCUCAGCUCCUGGGGCUGCCAGCAGCCCCCCAAGGAGGAGUGUUCCUCACUCCCGGAGGACCCCAGCCCCAGGUCGGGCCCACCUGCACCAGGCGCUGCAGGGCCUAGAUCUCUGCCCCACUUGGGGGGCCCCUUCCCUGAGAAGCGGAGACACAAAAGAGAUUCUGGAGUUGGGCAGGCGAGAAGCCAGAGUGGGGGCCUUGAGGCAGCCGGCCUCCACACUGGGAGCAGGAAUCCUCGGCCCUGUCUUCGCGCUUCUCCCCACAACAGAAGGGUCCACUGGGCCCCAGAGCCAUCCCUGAACGUCCGGCCUGAUGGUCCAGCCUGGGAGGCCCCAGCCCUGAGGCAGCUGUCCAGGCCUUUGGCAGGUAAGGUGGGUGCUCCUGCCCCAGGCCUGGGAGGGAACGGGGUGCCUGAUCCAAUUCUCUCUACCCUGUUCCUUUCUCUUCAGGACCCCAGGACCCCAAGCUGUUUCUGGGUAGGCUCCCAGCAUCUCCCUGCAACCCUGGAUCUCUCCUCCCAUCCUGCCCACUGGAAUACCCAUCUCCUGGCUCCCAGAAACAACAGCCCAGCCUUAGCCACAGACAGGGGCUUAAAAAAGAGCAGGAGACCCCAGGGGACCCCAAGCCCUGGAAAUGGAGCAAGAAACCAGAAAGGAUGAAGGAUGGCAAGAUUUUGAAGAACAGGGAGGAGUGGGUAGCUGGGGGCACACACAGAGCAGGAAAGGAGAAGCCAGACGUCUCUGUUCAGGAUGGAGGCCCUGGGCAGUUCAGAGUUAUGGGAGCUACGAACACCAAGCACGGAGUAGCCCAGGCAGAUUCUGGCACAAGUGGGAGAUAGCAGCAGCUGAUGCCUGAGACUCCAGCCGGUGUGGAAGCCCCCAGGCCCGGGUAAGCCCCAGGACCCAGGCCCCCAUGGACAUGAGCCCCCCACACACUGCUCUGUGGGGCUUAAGCUUCCCUGAGCAUUCCACUGGGGCAGAACACUAGUGCAGGCGGGAGAGGGGUAGCCAAGGAAAGGUCAGCCCUGACUCGCUCUGAUCCGAGGGGCAGUGGAAGAAACCCACCCAGAGACAGGGAAGGACCUGUCCAAGGCCACACAAGAAGCUCAAGCCUGUGUCCCCCACCCCCCACUCCCAGCUCUGUCAUCCAGGAGGUGCGAAAGUGACCAUCUCCUCUCUCCCAGGAGUCCUGGACUUGGGCUGAAGUUCGUCGGGGCCCUGCUUGAGGCUGCCCGCUGCCGCCUCGGGGAUGUGAUUCAGCAAGCUGAAAUCCUGCAAGAGGCCCUGCAGGAGCUGCAGAGGAACAGGGUAGGCCUCGGGGGGGAAAGAAAGAAGGCCAAGCUCACUAGGGGCCACAGCCAUAGUGAGGCAGUGCUGCAGAGGGACAAAGCCUUUCCCUUCUAGACUCUGUUUCCCUAUCUGUAAGAUGGGUGGGUUGGACCCGGUGGUUCUAAAAUGCCCUUCCUGGGCUUCCAUCCUAUGACAGGAUUCCCACAAAACCAGACCUGGGUGGUCCCAUUUCACAAGUGGAAAUGCUGAGAUUCAGGGAGGUCUGGAAGGUUUCCCCACAGUCACACAGUUUAAUCUAUCUGAAAGCCAGCACUAGAAUCCAGGGCACACUCUGCUCACUGCUUGGCUAAGUGCAAGGGGGUCCUAAAGCUC
rnacentral:lncRNA from 1 species